rnacentral:rRNA from 1 species
GGAAUAGGACGGCGCUCCUAUUUUGUUGGUUUCUAGGAGAGCCGUAAUGAUUAAUAGGGACAGUUGGGGGCAUCCGUAUUCAGUUGUCAGAGGUGAAAUUCUUGGAUUUACUGAAGACGAACUACUGCGAAAGCAUUUGCCAAAGAUGUUUUCAUUAAUCAGUGAACGAAAGUUAGGGGAUCGAAGACGAUCAGAUACCGUCGUAGUCUUAACCAUAAACUAUGCCGACUAGGGAUCGGGCGAUGUUAUUGUAUUGACUCGCUCGGCACCUUUCGAGAAAUCAAAGUGUUUGGGUUCUGGGGGGAGUAUGGUCGCAAGGCUGAAACUUAAAGAAAUUGACGGAAGGGCACCACCAGGAGUGGAGCCUGCGGCUUAAUUUGACUCAACACGGGGAAACUCACCAGGUCCAGAUACACGUAGGAUUGACAGAUUGAGAGCUCUUUCUUGAUUGUGUAGUUGGUGGUGCAUGGCCGUUCUUAGUUGGUGGAGUGAUUUGUCUGCUUAAUUGCGAUAACGAACGAGACCUUCAUCGUUAACUAGCCCGGCUCGCCUUGGCGGGUCGCCGGCUUCUUAGCGAGACUUUUGGCUUAAGCCAAAGGAAGUUGGAGGCAAUAACAGGUCUGUGAUGCCCUUAGAUGUUCUGGGCUGCACGCGCGCUACACUGACAGAGGCAACGAGUUUCGUUCCUUGGCCGGAAGGCCUGGGUAAUCUGUAAUUGCAU